CGGAUGGUUUACCCUGUAGAAGCGUGUUUAUCUGCACAUUUCAAAAUAAGCUCGUCUCUACAGGCAGGACCUUCCAG
rnacentral:pre_miRNA from 1 species